CGGGGGGUGAGGAGGCCAUGGGGAGAGAGGGGACGUGAUGGAAAGAAGAGGGGGAGGAUAAGAGAGUGUAGGAGGAGGAGGGAGAUAGGGAUGAGGAUGAGGUAAGGGGGUUGGGAGAGGGAGGGGACAGGUGUAAGUACCGGGUUGGACAAACCCAGAGUACCCACCCUCUGCCCCAGAACUGCACCCCCCAUCCCUCCCCACUCCCACACAGAGACUGCCCAGAGGGUGAGGCCACAGCUUUGGGCCUAGCCUUUCCCUGGGGGCAUGGCCAACCCUGUGGGCUACUCUGAGCCUGCGGGGGGCCUGCAGCAGGGAGCAGGACCCCGUCUCCCCAGCUCAGCCAAGCCCCACGCGGGGCUAACCAGGCUGCCAGGGCCCCCAGCAGAUUACGUAAGGGCUUAUGCCGCCGCGGCUCAUUUGUCCGCCCCCCUCCCUCUCCAGCCUGGCGUGGCGCCAGGAGCCCGAAAACCCAGGGCUCCAGAAAUCAAUCUCGCGGUGACUGAUUAAGCCCUGUUUAGAACUAAUUGCUCUUUCGUGUGUGGGGAGAAUAAAUUACCUGCUUUAAUUUCGUGUCUUUAAAAUGCAACUGCAGGUAGAGAAGACUGUUAACCCUUUGCUGGGAGGGCCUGGCCAGGGGAAACAGAGUAGGCUGGGGUCCCCAAGGUGGGUCCAGGCCUGAGACUUUUCGGAGGUAUCACCCCAACUCCUCUUAGCUGCUGUGAACUCCACAGAGGGUUUGGAUUCCAGCAGGCCCCUCAAAAGACAUCCUUUUGCCACAGAGACCUCAGCCUUCACCCUCUUCAGUGCCCACCUUCAGGCCAGCCCAGCUCUCCUGCCUGCCCUUUGGGCUGCACCCUGCCCUCCUCUCCUGACCCACCUGCCUGCCCUCCAAGCCCCUUGCUGUUGGAGCCUUCUCAAAAUCCCCACAGUGUGUGGCAAAGUCCCCAUUCACACGCCAGAAGACCUAGGCUCAGAGAGAGGAAUGGCUUGCCCAAGGUGGCCUUUUCUGCUGUCCCUCGGUUCCUCCCUGGGCUUCACCUCUGCCAUCUCUCCAUACAUCCUCUUUUUAAUUCUGCUGUGCCAGUCUCCAGUGCUCCCCAUGUCACUGCCUGCUUUUGCCAGGCCUGUUCUGAGGACAGAGGAAGGCAGGAAGUCCACUGGCCCCACUGGAAUCUGGAGUAGAACUUCUGCUGGGCCUGCGGCACCCCACCUCUGGGGCCUCCCACCUGGUGGCCUCAACUUCCUGGUCCAGGGUUUCACUCUAGCCCAGACUGGAGUACAGUGGCACGAUCUCAGCUCACUGCAACCUCCGCCUCCCAGGCUCAAGUGAUUCUCCUGCCUCAGCCUCCCAAGUAGCUGGAAUUACAGGUGCGUGCCACUGCCACCCAGCUAAUUUUUGUAUUUUUAGUAGAGAUGGGGUUUCACCACGUUGACCAGACUGGUCUUGAACUCCUGACCUCAGAUGAUCCACCCGCCUCGGCCUCCCAAAGUGCUGGGAUUACAGCAGGACACCCUCAUUUAUCCUCUGAGUCGGACACUCUCCUUCCUCCUGUGGUGUGGCUGUGUUCUCUGAUGGAGCAAAAGCCGACUGAUCCAGCAGGACGUCAUCUCUACUACAAGUACACUUCAUCCCCUGACAGUACAACCUCAUUUAUCUAAUAAUGCAGCCUCACCUUGCCCCCAAGUACCACCUCAUUCCCUGACAGCACAACCUCGUUGAUCUUCCGGUACAACCUCAUUUCUUCUCCCAACACAGCUUCAUUCUCCAACAGCUCAACCUCAUCUAAUCUUAUGCCUCCAGCCAGGGCCUGCCAGAUCUCCGGGAGCCAAAGGAGAGUGUAGAGAAAAGAGAGGUCCCUCAUUUGCUGUCCCCCACCCACAAGGGCUGCCUGGUGCUAUAACCAUCCAAUUUCUCCAGGCCCAGAAGGGGCCAUGGACUUUGAGUUCUAGGCUGCUUGGCCAAGCCAGAACUCCACUAUUGCCCUGCCUCCUGUUCUGUCCCCACCAUGGCUACAGAGGGCCCACAGGAUGGAUUCUGGGACAUGGACUCAUGGUUGCUGUACCAUCUUCUUAUUUAUUUAUAGCCAGAGAGGAGGAUUUCUUAUGUUGCCCACGUUGGUUUCAAACUCCUGACCUCAAGUGAUCUUCCUGCCUCGGCCUCCCAAAGUGCUGGGAUUACAGGUGUGAGCCAACUUGCCUGGCCAUCUCUGUGCCAUCUUCUUCUGAUCCUGGGCAGUGGGACUAGGGGAAGUUACCUUUUCUGGGGCACAUUUAGUGGUGUGCUGGCAAAUGUUUAACCACCAGCUCUUCUGGAAGUUAAAAAAAAAACCUACCUGAUUUGAUUUGUAGCUGUUGCUGCUUUCUGUGGUACGGAUACUCACAUCAUAGCCAAUUUUAAACUGCCACAUGACGUCACCGAGUGCAGAAUUGGGAAGAAGUGUGCACGAUCAGCCCUCAUGAGCCAGUGCAAACCAGCUCUCGCACACCACUG
rnacentral:lncRNA from 1 species